GACGAACGCUGGCGGCGUGCUUAACACAUGCAAGUCGAACGGAAAGGCCCUGCUUUUGUGGGGUGCUCGAGUGGCGAACGGGUGAGUAACACGUGAGUAACCUGCCCUUGACUUUGGGAUAACUUCAGGAAACUGGGGCUAAUACCGGAUAGGAGCUCCUGCUGCAUGGUUGGGGUUGGAAAGUUUCGGCGGUUGGGGAUGGACUCGCGGCUUAUCAGCUUGUUGGUGGGGUAGUGGCUUACCAAGGCUUUGACGGGUAGCCGGCCUGAGAGGGUGACCGGCCACAUUGGGACUGGGAUACGGGCCAGACUCCUACGGGAGGAAGCAGUGGGGGAUAUUGCACAAUGGGCGGAAGCCUGAUGCAGCAACGCCGCGUGCGGGAUGACUGCCUUCGGGUUGUAAACCGCUUUCGCCUGUGACGAAGCGUGAGUGACGGUAAUGGGUAAAGAAGCACCGGCUAACUACGUG
rnacentral:rRNA from 1 species